GCAUUUCUUUGCGAGUCUUUCUCCCCACUCGUUCGCACGAGCCACUCCUCCGGUCCUCUUCCUUCAGUAUCUUCUUAUUUUUACACGUUUUUUUUUGUGUAUUUACCUGCACACGUGGAUACACUCGAUGAUGCGGGAACUUCUAUGAUACAGCAAGAAUGUAAUAUAGGUUAAGCAUCAAAGUUGAUAUGCUUCAACGUCAAGACGAGUAAAUUGACACAAACAUGAGGGAAUAAUUCAAAGUUGCAAUCAAUGUUGCAUGCGAUACACUAUUGGAUAAUUUGGGAUUAUUUUUGUGAUAUAUGUACCUACAUAUUAUAUGUAUAUUGAAUCAGUUAAUAAUUUUGUUAUUAAUUCGAAAUUAAUGCCACGCUAUAGAUCAAUAUAUACUUCUGGUUUCAUAGAAAACUUUAUUUAUAUUAUUAUAUUAAACAUUUAUUCAACUGCUGGAUUCCACUAUAAUUAGUAUCAGUGUAUCAAUCGGUAAUGUUAAUUGAUAUUAAAGAUCUUACUAUAUUAUGAAAGUUACUAUAAUACCAUAGGCGAAUAAAAGGAAAAAGAUGAAACUGAUUGAUAAGCAAGUCUAUUAAGAUGGUAUAGUUGAAUUAAUUAAUAAUUGUUGUCUGGAAGUACCGAAUGAGGAAAUAGGUAGAUGCAACAUGUUGAUAAUAUGUAAAAAGACAAAUGACACAUCGUUUGGUGGUGUAUAUGAGCAGUCAUCAAUACAUAUACAAUAAUAAUAAUACAACACGUCUCUGUUCAUAUUUUCGACUCCUGUUUCUUUCUGUCAUAGGUUAAUGUCAGGUUUCACACACCUAAACUUUGCUGGAGAAAUGCUCUUUAAAAUUGAGGAAAACCUCAUCAAAAUAUGUCCUAUAGUUCUUGAGAUUAGCUCGAACUCGGAACAUACAGACGCUUGCCGAGUACUUGAUUUUAUAUUACGUCUAGAUUGAAUACAAAAGAAUAUUUAUUAUAUUCUCUCUCAUGCAAUGUUUGUAUAGUAUACAUGAAGAGAAAAGCACUUCAGUUUGCAUCCAAAACACGGUUUUAAGUAAUUGCUUCUUAACUUGCUGCGCUGCAUGUUUCUUUUUGUAGCGCACAAUUUCAAGGAAACCGUCGCUGUAUAAUUGGUCGCUUUGUAUUUUAUAUCUGUCCACUUUAAUAGUUUUUUCUGCACGACGAGAUGCGCUAUAGGGGACAGUGUGUCCUUGCGUAGCAACGCCGUUGUGUUAUGGUUUCCCCCUUGCUCUUUGAGAUCUCAAGCACAGUGAACCGUAGUUCCUGGUUUUGUCCACUAAAUCGUGCACUACCGACGCUUAAGCUCUGAAAGCCCCUCUUUUGACGCUAGGGGGAUUCUACUUGUUACUGGGAAUCCUUCUGUAUCCCCUUGGGGAUAUGUAUUGCACUCUGUCGAGAUGACGGAAAUUGAGGAAACAAAAUCCGUUGCAGAUAAAAAUAAUUUCAUAAAAGGAUACGUAUGUAAGGAUAGCAAAAUAAGUACCUAAGUUCGACGUUCUUAAUGCGAACUACGAUUCCCUUUAGAUCUUGCAGUUAAGAUCACAGGACGAUCAUUCACCUGCACCUUCGCAGGAUACGCUUCCAAAGCUGUAUUUUAUACCAGGAUGGAAACGCGAUAUUUGGAAACGCGGCGUAGAUAAGUGGAAUGCCCUGUACAGAGACGCGUUUGCAUACACGCCGGUGUAUAUCUAGAUGCUACAUGCAUCUGCGCCCGUCCGUUGAACGUGCAUGCACGCGAGUUUAACGAGCGCGGCAGAGGCUGGCGCCAAACGGCGAUCCUAACAUCGGCCAACCGAUUCGCGAUCUCUGCUUUCUACGAUAAUCCUCUGCGAUGGCAUACUGUUGUCCGCUGUGGAAACGUGAUCGAGCAUGAUCGAGCCUCAUGCUUACAGCCUAUCCUAAUAGAUAUCAUAAUGAACGUACAAAGUCGGGUAAAUACUGGCGUUGCAUAGGUCUGGAGAAUAGGAAUAUUGUGAUAGUAUAAUAGUACAGAAUUAUACAUCAUAUUUUUUAUAAAAAAUAUUUUUGAUAACUGUAAGUAUUAAUUAUUAAUAUGGAAAGUAUUUUUAAGGUCUAAAGGAAAUUUCUAUCGCUGGUAUUGAAAAUGAUUUACAUAUAUCUGAAAUUUUGAGAAAACCUGGCUAUUAUUAAAUACAGAAGUGACAGUAGAGAGAAGGAAACGGUACGUGUAAGGGGCCACGAGACUAUUUUCAUUCAUGAAUGAAGCGAUGCGAACGUAAAAGUACUUUAUCCAUCAUAUUCGUUAUCAAGGACAUGGCAAUGCACAGAGUAUUUUUACCACAGAAUUUCCAGCUCUGAGAGUAUCCUAUAAUCCCUAGCGUUCCAGCACAUAUCACGAGUGGCUCUUUCGAAGCUUAUAAUUGUUAGACACAGAACAAAUGUGACUUCUUGAAUAGCGCUGGCUGAAUAAUUUUGAUAAGCCUAUAUAUGCAUAGAUAGGGCAAGCAACGCUUUGUAAGAAUGCGUUCUAAUCGUAAAUGCGUUCAGCAACCAGUGACCUAGAAUGUUAAUACUUUCUCCUUCCUUAAGUAUUCUUUUGUUCUCCGUUCAAAUGCACCUGUAUUGUUCCCGUAACACACAACUGUUCCGUGACAAAGCGAUAACGGGUCACGAAGGUUCCAAUACAAUGUUCAGAGGAGAAUACUACCGACAUAAGUAAACACGUACGAACAGUCGCUGGUGGACCAUCGAAUUGAACUCCGAAAAUAAAACGAUACGUGGCUAAGUAAACUAGAAGAGAAAAUUUUGUUCUCCUCCUAUUUUUUUUUUUUUUUUAAAGCUAUUCGAAACGUAACAUGUUCAAAAUGGAAAUAUAAUAGUGAUCAAUCAGCUACGUCAGAAUUAAAAUGAUUGAUGCGAUGGAUAUUUAAAGUCGUGGAUGGCAAAUAAUGCUUUUUUUGGAAUAUGUUCAUCGAUAAAGAAUUUUGAUAUUAUAUAAUUUUAUGUAUAUUAGUAUUAUUAAUAGAUAGUAUAAUUCAAUAAUGCUACAACGUUAUCAGUAAUAGUAUAAGAUACUUAAAGCUUUUUAGAAUCUUGGUAAGUAUAGAAUUUUAUGCCUAUGAUAGGCUUUCAGCCUUUAAAGUUUGGUAAACUUCAACAUUUAUCAAAAUUUAAAAAUUUCAAAUAUAGAUAUAGGUAUAAUGAAUGUAGAUAUAGUUCAAGUAUAUACAGAUACAAUAUUCAUAAAGUCUAACUUCAAUAAUGUUUGAAAUGAAAAGAUUACGUCCAUCUAAAAAUAGUUAAGUUUAAGGAACCUGUUACAAUUAUUAUAAUAAAAAAAUGAAUUAUUAAAUAGCUGAUAGCACAUAUAACAAAAGAAUCUGUUUAGAAUUCCAAUAAGACAAAAUGGUGUUCCGAAUAAGAUCUUUAAUUAGAGAUAAAGUACUUGCGUAUACAAAGCUCGUUCUAAGCUAAAUAGCGAAACGUAAUUAGAAAAAAAUUAUGCUUGUGGUAAUGAUACAUUAGAAUUGCUAUUUCAUUACAAUAAGGAACCUUGAGCCGUGAUAGUUAAGUAUUGAAACUAGAACGAUUGUUUCUUUUUUUUCUUUGGUAAGACUAACUCCAAUAAUCCCUUGAUUUACUGCAUCUUAUAAUCUUGUUAGUUAAUUAGCAUUUUCUUAUUUACAGCAUGUAUAGAAAAACAAAUUACGUAAACUUAUGUAAAGAUAACAGGAUAUGAAAUGUAACAGGAUUAUCUUAUCGAAUGAAAAUAUAAAUUUGUUCAGCGAAGAAAUGAUAAAGCUAUAAUCGUGAAAGCGUAUGAAGACGGAAAAGAGAUACAAUAAAACGCGAUUUUCUGAGAUGAUGUUGAGAAAAAAGCACGCACGAUCAUGCGACCACAAUAUUACCACACUGUGGAGAUUACAUUCGAGCAGGGAGACACCAGAUUUUCAUCGAUGUCGUUGCGAACUCGAAAGUCUAUGAAAUUUUAUCAAUAUAAUUUGUUGCA